CACGUAGGGGCCAAGCGUUGUCCGGAUUUAUUGGGCGUAAAGAGCUCGUAGGCGGUUGGGUAAGUCGGGUGUGAAAACUCUGGGCUCAACUCAGAGACGCCACCCGAUACUGCUCUGACUUGAGUCCGGUAGGGGAGUGGGGAAUUCCUGGUGUAGCGGUGAGAUGCGCAGAUAUCAGGAGGAACACCGGUGGCGAAGGCGCCACUCUGGGCCGGAACUGACGCUGAGGAGCGAAAGCGUGGGUAGCGAUCCGG
rnacentral:rRNA from 1 species